rnacentral:rRNA from 1 species
AUGCACGCUGGCGGCGUGCCUAAUACAUGCCAGUCGAGCGAACAGACGAGGAGCUUGCUCCUCUGACGUUAGCGGCGGACGGGUGAGUAACACGUGGAUAACCUACCUAUAAGACUGGGAUAACUUCGGGAAACCGGAGCUAAUACCGGAUAAUAUAUUGAACCGCAUGGUUCAAUAGUGAAAGACGGUUUUGCUGUCACUUAUAGAUGGAUCCGCGCCGCAUUAGCUAGUUGGUAAGGUAACGGCUUACCAGGGCAACGAUGCGUAGCCGACCUGAGAGGGUGAUCGGCCACACUGGAACUGAGACACGGUCCAGACUCCUACGGGAGGCAGCAGUAGGGAAUCUUCCGCAAUGGGCGAAAGCCUGACGGAGCAACGCCGCGUGAGUGAUGAAGGUCUUCGGAUCGUAAAACUCUGUUAUUAGGGAAGAACAAAUGUGUAAGUAACUAUGCACGUCUUGACGGUACCUAAUCAGAAAGCCACGGCUAACUACGUG